AACGUAGGGGACAAACGUUAUCCGGAGUUACUGGGCGUAAAGGGCGUGUAGGCGGUUUGUUAAGUCUGGCGUGAAAGCUCUCGGCUAAACCGGGAGAGGUCGUUGGAUACUGGCAGACUAGAGGACGGUAGAGGCGUGUGGAAUUCCGGGUGUAGUGGUGAAAUGCGUAGAGAUCCGGAGGAACACCAGUGGCGAAGGCGACACGCUGGGCCGUACCUGACGCUAAAGCGCGACAGCAUGGGGAGCAAACGGG
rnacentral:rRNA from 1 species